AGAGUAUUGAAGACCCUGAGAUCAAGCAGAGCAAAUAUCGUGACGCUUCAGAGAUGAAGAAGCCUCCUCUUCUUAAAGUGCCGCCGCUGUCCCACCGAGACUCAAAGAGCUUGGAAGAUGACGAGUUCCCUCGGAAGGGUGCAGAUCUGUUCAAGGCGGGAGACGUGGAGCUGGCGGAGGACGCAGGCUGGGAGGAAUACACGCCGACUGAAGACAUGAAGGAGUUUCCUGAAGAGUUUCUGGAUCCUCCAGGGGCCACGGCUGG
rnacentral:lncRNA from 1 species